rnacentral:rRNA from 1 species
UACGAAGGGGCUGAGCGUUGUUCGGAAUUACUGGGCGUAAAGCGCACGUAGGCGGGUUGUUAAGUCAGGGGUGAAAUCCUGGAGCUCAACUCCAGAACUGCCUUUGAUACUGGCAACCUAGAGACUGGAAGAGGUUAGUGGAAUUCCCAGUGUAGAGGUGAAAUUCGUAGAUAUUGGGAAGAACACCAGUGGCGAAGGCGGCUAACUGGUCCAGCACUGACGCUGAGGUGCGAAAGCGUGGGGAGCAAACAGG